UAGAAUCAUCACUGACAGAAUUUUUACUAGAUAAAUUCUGAGAACAUGCUGAUAUUUUGCCGUCUUCAGCAUUUGAUGAAGAUGGCUGAUCAUUGGCAUGAUUGACGUCAUCGGAUAUGAGGUUAUUCAAUGAAAAAAAUCUAAUUCAUGACAGUAAUUCAUGCUUCUCUUUAGAUUUUUUUUAAAAUACAAUUUUGGAUUGUGUUUUGUUGAUUUUGAGAUUGAAAGGAAUUCUGUGUUAGUUAAUUGUUAUUCUCAUUAAUUUAGUGCUGAACAAAUUGACAGUCUCUUCCAUUUUUAAAUAUUAAUUUAAAUACUAAUAAGUCAAUCAAAAGUAAGUAGGAAAUUUUGCAACAUACAUAUAUAGUAAUUGUUGUCUAAUUAACAUAAAAAAUUAUAUUUUGAAACAAAAUUAAUGAAACAAGAAAAGAUAACGCCCUGAAACUUUAUUUUUUUGUCUGAGAUAACAAAGAAAAAUCAUGAAUGAAACUUUUCACUCAUUACCAAUAAUUGUGAAAAAACAUCAUUUGUUUUAAGGUCAAAACCAACCACUCUAGUUCUACACAAGAAUGCCAGUAAAAUUUGGGCCAAGCCAACAAAAAAUGGUCCGGGGGAUUGUGAGAUUGUGUUACAGACAGUCUUCCAUAAAGUGGAACUAAGCCAAGCACAUUAAGUAAACUAGCUUAGCUUUCAGAUUGCCCAAAAUACCUGCCAGAUAUUGUAGCAAGAAUGUUCAGCAUUAUAACCUCAUCAUCAAGUUCAGACUUGGCAGCUCGCAAGCUAGCACACUUUCGGAGCAGGCUCCGCAAAGCAGCGCUAGUAUCAGCAUGUAAUGGAGUAUCAACUGCUACACAUAAAGCAAAAAGCCACAUACAAUCAUUUUUCGAAAGUGAGCUCCUUGUUUCUGCCAAGCCAAUGCAUUUCUUCAGCAUCAAUACUCGUGUAACAGAAUCCAUUCCAAAAAUCGCAGACAAUGUAGGGUAGUUGCAUGUAGAAUCAUCACUGACAGAAUUUUUACUAGAUAAAUUCUGAGAACAUGCUGAUAUUUUGCCGUCUUCAGCAUUUGAUGAAGAUGGCUGAUCAUUGGCAUGAUUGACGUCAUCGGAUAUGAGGUUAAAUUUUUGGAGAACGACACAUUCAGCAAGCUGAGGGGAGGAAUUAUUCUGCUCAUGAGUAAUAGCCACAUGUUGCAUUCGAUAAGAAAGUUCGGUGCAGGAACCCUCAUUGCCUGAU
rnacentral:lncRNA from 1 species